UACGGAGGGUGCGAGCGUUGUCCGGAAUCACUGGGCGUAAAGGGUGCGUAGGCGGGUCUUUAAGUCAGGGGUGAAAUCCUGGAGCUCAACUCCAGAACUGCCUUUGAUACUGAGGAUCUUGAGUUCGGGAGAGGUGAGUGGAACUGCGAGUGUAGAGGUGAAAUUCGUAGAUAUUGCAAGAACACCAGUGGCGAAGGCGGCUCACUGGCCCGAUACUGACGCUGAGGCACGAAAGCGUGGGGAGCAAACAGGAUUAGAUACCGUGUACGUCCAGAGCAA
rnacentral:rRNA from 1 species